UAGUAGCCGGACUAUAUAUAUAUAUAUAUAUAUAUAUAUAUAUAUAUAUAUAUAUAUAUAUAUAUAUAUAUAUAUAUAUAUAUAUAUAUAUAUAUAUAUAUAUAUAUAUAUAUAUAUAUAUAUAGCUGGGUUGGAAUACUAUUGAUAGUAUUUAGCCCUUUUUGCUAUCAAAUUUUUAAUUCUUGGAUGAGAAAUUUUGUGAUGGUGGAGUCGGAAUUUUGAAGAGUUCAAGUUAUGAAGAACAACUCGAAGAUUCGAAGUACUAAUUCACGAUUCGAAGUAGUCUUUUUAGUGUUUGUAGUGAUCUAAUGCAUAUAAUAGUGUAGGGCCCGCGCUUCGCAGCGGAUAUGUAGUAUUUCAAUUGAUUAAAAUGUAUAUUUAUUAAAAUUUUAAGAUUGAGAAAAUUAUAGCUUAAGACAUGUUUUUUUUAAAAAAAAUCUACAAAAUAGCCUUAUGUAUAUUAUUAAAAAUAUUUUUUAUUAAUAUUUUCUUAACUUUUAAUAUUUGUAGAGUAAAAUUAUUCUAAAAAUUUUAUUUAAAAAUUCAAUUAAACUUAAUAUUUUUUAUAACU
rnacentral:lncRNA from 1 species